rnacentral:rRNA from 1 species
AGCCCAAGAGAUCGGGAUAACACCUUGAAACAGAUGCUAAUACCGGAUAACAACAGAUGAUGCCUAUCAACUGUUUAAAAGAUGGUUCUGCUAUCACUCUUGGAUGGACCUGCGGUGCAUUAGCUAGUUGGUAGGGUAACGGCCUACCAAGGCGAUGAUGCAUAGCCGAGUUGAGAGACUGAUCGGCCACAUUGGGACUGAGACACGGCCCAAACUCCUACGGGAGGCAGCAGAA